rnacentral:rRNA from 1 species
UACGGAGGGAGCUAGCGUUGUUCGGAAUUACUGGGCGUAAAGCGCACGUAGGCGGCAAUUCAAGUCAGGGGUGAAAUCCCGGGGCUCAACCCCGGAACUGCCCUUGAAACUGGAUCGCUAGAAUCUUGGAGAGGCGAGUGGAAUUCCGAGUGUAGAGGUGAAAUUCGUAGAUAUUCGGAAGAACACCAGUGGCGAAGGCGGCUACUUGGCCUAAUACUGACACUGAGGCACGAAAGCGUGGGGAGCAAACAGG